GGACUGUAGUCUGNAACCCGACUACACGAAGCUGGAAUCGCUAGUAAUCGCGAAUCAGAAUGUCGCGGUGAAUACGUUCCCGGGUCUUGUACACACCGCCCGUCACACCAUGGGAGUCGGGAAUGCCCGAAGUCAGUGACCCAACCAAAUGGAGGGAGCUGCCGAAGGCAGGUCUGAUAACUGGGGUGAAGUCGUAACAAGGUAGC
rnacentral:rRNA from 1 species